GAACUUUUGAAUUUCAUUUCCUGUUUGCCCAGCGUGGAGCUGUGAUCAGCAUGGGUGGCGAUGCGGUCCCAAAUCGAAAAAGAACUCCAACAUGGACCGUACAGGAGAUACUGGAUCUGAUCGCUGUAUGGGGAGACAAAUCUGUUCUAGUCAAGCUCCGUUACA